rnacentral:rRNA from 1 species
CCCUAACUCCGGUUGAUCCUGCCGGAGGCCACUGCUAUGGGGGUUCGGCUAAGCCAUGCAAGUGGAGGGCGCGGUCUUCCGACCGUGGCCCCGCGCAAGGCUCAGUAACACGUAGUCAACCUACCCUCGGGUGGGGGAUAACCUCGGGAAACUGAGGAUAAUACCCCAUAGGUGAGGGAGGCUGGAAGGCGCCCUCACCGAAAGCCACGGCGCCCGAGGAUGGGACUGCGGCCUAUCAGGUAGUUGGUGGUGUAACGGACCACCAAGCCUACGACGGGUACGGGCGAUGGGAGUCGGAGCCCGGAGAUGGGGACUGAGACAAGGCCCCAGGCCCUACGGGGCGCAGCAGGCGCGAAAACUCCGCAAUGCGCGAAAGCGUGACGGGGGAACCCC